CACGCUGUAAACGAUGAUGACUAACUAUGGCCGUGAGGCCGUGGUGAAGCAAACGCAUUAAGUCAUCCGCCUGGGAAGUACGGUCGCAAGACUGAAACUUAAAGGAAUUGACGGGUCCCCGCACAAGCAGUGGAGCAUGAGGUUUAAUUCGACGCUACGCGAGAAACCUUACCAGAACUUGACAUGGUGGAUAAUGUUGCAGAAAUGCAAAGAUAAUACCCACACACAGGUGG
rnacentral:rRNA from 1 species